GCGAUCAUACUAGCACUAAUGCACCGGAUCCCAUCAGAACUCCGAAGUUAAGUGUGCUUGGGCGAGAGUAGUACUAGGAUGGGUGACCUCCUGGGAAGUCCUCGUGUUGCACCCC
rnacentral:rRNA from 1 species